rnacentral:rRNA from 2 species
UUAAGUGACUAAGCGUACACGGUGGAUGCCUUGGCAGUCAGAGGCGAUGAAAGACGUAGUAACUUGCGAUAAGCCCAGAUUAGGUAGUAACAACCAUUUGAGUCUGGGAUUUCUGAAUGGGGAAACCCACGUGCAUAAGCACGUAUCCUUACCUGAAUACAUAGGGUAAGGAGGCGAACCGGGGGAACUGAAACAUCUAAGUACCCCGAGGAAAAGAAAUCAACCGAGAUUCCGAAAGUAGCGGCGAGCGAAAUUGGACUAGCCCUUAAGCUUUACACGCGUUAGACGAACGGUCUGGAAAGUCCGACGAUACAGGGUGAUAGUCCCGUAGUUGACGACGUGUGUUCAGUGAAAUCGAGUAGGGCGGGACACGUGAUAUCCUGUCUGAAUAUGGGGGGACCAUCCUCCAAGGCUAAAUACUACUGACUGACCGAUAGUGAACCAGUACCGUGAGGGAAAGGCGAAAAGAACCCCUGUGAGGGGAGUGAAAUAGAACCUGAAACCGUGUACGUACAAGCAGUAGGAGCAGGCUUUGUCCUGUGACUGCGUACCUUUUGUAUAAUGGGUCAGCGACUUAUAUUCAGUGGCAAGGUUAACCAUCUAGGGGAGCCGUAGGGAAACCGAGUCUUAACUGGGCGUUCAGUCUCUGGAUAUAGACCCGAAACCAGGUGAUCUAGCCAUGGGCAGGUUGAAGGUUGAGUAACAUCAACUGGAGGACCGAACCGACUAAUGUUGAAAAAUUAGCGGAUGACUUGUGGCUAGGGGUGAAAGGCCAAUCAAACCUGGAGAUAGCUGGUUCUCCCCGAAAGCUAUUUAGGUAGCGCCUCGGACGAAUACUACUGGGGGUAGAGCACUGUUAAGGCUAGGGGGUCAUCCCGACUUACCAACCCUUUGCAAACUCCGAAUACCAGUAAGUACUAUCCGGGAGACACACGGCGGGUGCUAACGUCCGUCGUGGAGAGGGAAACAACCCAGACCGCCAGCUAAGGUCCCAAAUUACUACUAAGUGGGAAACGAUGUGGGAAGGCUCAGACAGCCAGGAUGUUGGCUUAGAAGCAGCCAUCAUUUAAAGAAAGCGUAAUAGCUCACUGGUCGAGUCGGCCUGCGCGGAAGAUGUAACGGGGCUAAGUAGUAAACCGAAGCUGCGGCAAUAUACUUUUGUAUAUUGGGUAGGGGAGCGUUCUGUAAGCGGUUGAAGGUGUGUGGUAACGCAUGCUGGACGUAUCAGAAGUGCGAAUGCUGACAUGAGUAACGAUAAAGGGGGUGAAAAACCUCCUCGCCGGAAGACCAAGGGUUCCUGUCCAACGUUAAUCGGGGCAGGGUAAGUCGACCCCUAAGGCGAGGCCGAAAGGCGUAGUCGAUGGGAAACGGGUUAAUAUUCCCGUACUUCUUACAAUUGCGAUGGGGGGACGGAGAAGGCUAGGUGGGCCUGGCGACGGUUGUCCAGGUUCAAGUGCGUAGGCUUAAGAGUUAGGUAAAUCCGGCUCUUUUUAAGGCUGAGACACGACGUCGAGCACCUACGGGUGUGAAGUCAUUGAUGCCAUGCUUCCAGGAAAAGCCUCUAAGCUUCAGAUUGUAAGGAAUCGUACCCCAAACCGACACAGGUGGUCGGGUAGAGAAUACCAAGGCGCUUGAGAGAACUCGGGUGAAGGAACUAGGCAAAAUGGUACCGUAACUUCGGGAGAAGGUACGCUCUCGACGGUGAAGUCCCUUGCGGAUGGAGCUAUUGAGAGUCGCAGAUACCAGGUGGCUGCAACUGUUUAUUAAAAACACAGCACUGUGCAAAAUCGUAAGAUGACGUAUACGGUGUGACGCCUGCCCGGUGCCGGAAGGUUAAUUGAUGGGGUUAGACUUCGGUCGAAGCUCUUGAUCGAAGCCCCGGUAAACGGCGGCCGUAACUAUAACGGUCCUAAGGUAGCGAAAUUCCUUGUCGGGUAAGUUCCGACCUGCACGAAUGGCGUAAUGAUGGCCACGCUGUCUCCACCCGAGACUCAGUGAAAUUGAAAUCGCUGUGAAGAUGCAGUGUACCCGCGGCUAGACGGAAAGACCCCGUGAACCUUUACUACAGCUUGGCACUGAACAUUGACCCUACAUGUGUAGGAUAGGUGGGAGGCUUUGAAGCACGUACGCCAGUAUGUGUGGAGCCGUCCUUGAAAUACCACCCUUGUAGUGUUGAUGUUCUAACGUCGACCCCUAAUCGGGGUUGCGGACAGUGCCUGGUGGGUAGUUUGACUGGGGCGGUCUCCUCCCAAAGAGUAACGGAGGAGCACGAAGGUGGGCUAAUCACGGUUGGACAUCGUGAGGUUAGUGCAAUGGCAUAAGCCCGCUUGACUGCGAGAAUGACAAUUCGAGCAGGUGCGAAAGCAGGUCAUAGUGAUCCGGUGGUUCUGAAUGGAAGGGCCAUCGCUCAACGGAUAAAAGGUACUCCGGGGAUAACAGGCUGAUACCGCCCAAGAGUUCAUAUCGACGGCGGUGUUUGGCACCUCGAUGUCGGCUCAUCACAUCCUGGGGCUGAAGUCGGUCCCAAGGGUAUGGCUGUUCGCCAUUUAAAGUGGUACGCGAGCUGGGUUUAGAACGUCGUGAGACAGUUCGGUCCCUAUCUGCCGUGGGCGUUGGAAGAUUGAAGGGGGCUGCUCCUAGUACGAGAGGACCGGAGUGGACGAACCUCUGGUGUUCGGGUUGUGUCGCCAGACGCAUUGCCCGGUAGCUAAGUUCGGAAUCGAUAACCGCUGAAAGCAUCUAAGCGGGAAGCGAGCCCUGAGAUGAGUCUUCCCUGAUACUUUAAGUAUCCUAAAGGGUUGUCGGAGACUACGACGUUGAUAGGUCAGGUGUGUAAGUGCUGUGAGGCAUUGAGCUAACUGAUACUAAUUGCCCGUGAGGCUUAACCAU